rnacentral:lncRNA from 1 species
CUGUGGAGCGGCCAGGGAAGGCCUGCCCUAGUUUCACCCACCCCAUCCAUCUCCCUGGGCACACCUGCUCCUGCCAUCGGCACUCCUACUAUCAUGGCUGCAUCUGGGGUUUGGAGUUCACAGAAACCUCUUAAAAAGGCACCCAAUUGCUCAACUUUGCUAAGCAGAUGAAGAGUGAAAUAAAUGUUGCUUCACCAGCUGGUUGUUAUAAAGGCCAGCAUCACAUCAGUGGAGACAGUCCAGCCUCCCAGCCAGCCCUAAAGACACAGGCACCAGGAAAGGACCAGGCUCUCCAAGCCCCGGCCAGGCAACUUUGGCCCCAGUGGGCUGGAUGGUGGGAUGCAAUGAACCAUCCAACUUGGUGACUAAGGCUCUUUCUAACCAUGGAGUGUGGACAAAGGGAAAGUCUGUCAUCAGCAGACAAAGGGUAGA